CAGUCCCCAGGGGCUGGGGACUAGCUGUCCUUCUCACCGGAGAACCAUAUCACCAGCUUGAGCUGGACCACGUGUAUUGUAAGAAGAAGGAAUUGCAGGAGAAACCAAGAUUUGCCCAGCACCGAGUCCUGCUCAAAGCUAAAGGGAGAAGGAGAUCCCAAGUGGAGGAGACUGUCCUUAACCUUCCAUUCCAGAGCAGUUUGCUGGCUGGUAGUAACAAAGGGGAUGAAAUAGGGUUGUUGUGUUUUUCUUUCAUUAUUUUACUUUUUCAGGUCUGCUGAAUAAAGAAAACCAUCAUAAUACAAUGUUAAUUCCUCUAAGACAUUAGGGCAACACUGUGUUUGGUUUUAAAAACUCAAGCAAUAUGUAAUUUUCAGAUAAUUAACUGUGUGGAUUAAAAACUAGUUCUUUCACUGAUCUCAAAAUAUUGAUCAUUAGGAUUCACCAAUGAGCAGGACUGUAUUUAGCAGUGGUGCCAAAUGACUGAGGUCUUGUUGCCACAAUUAGUUUGUUCAUCGGUGACCUAGACAAUGACAUAAAAUUUCUGUUGAUAAAGUCUGUGAAAGACAUUUGAAAUUAAGAAGUAAUAAAGAGGGACAAAGACAGGUUAUUGUUAUGCAAACCUGACUUGCCUGAUCACAGUCCCAUGACAUCCACUGGCAGGUAGCUAAAUACCAAUUUACACAACACCAGAUACAGACAGACAUGUGGAGUCUCUUGGCAAGCAGUAAUCCAGAAAAAGAUUGAGGAGUAAUCAUAGAUGAUCAUUUCAGCAUAAGUUGCCAGUCAGGUAGUAGCUGAAAAGGCUGCUUACACAAUCCUUUCAUGUAUAAAAUGAAGUUAUCAGGAAGAAGCAGAGCAAGGAUCCCUGUAUGUAGAGUUUAAGAAAGAUCAUAGUGCGUGAACAAUCACUAUUAGAAUGUUCUUAGUAUUAAUGAACAUUUCCUGUGAGCAAACUGUAUAUAUAUAUGUACAUAUACUUAUUUGCAUAUGAUCCCUGUACAGUCAGUAUAUGUAAAAUACCAGUGGCCAGUGCUCACUUGAUGCCCAGCAUUCUGGAGUCAGGUUUAGUCCAGAGUCCCUUGCUGAACAGAAGAAUUUUUUAGGAGUCCAAGGAUGAGCACUGUGCAAACUAGGUUAGGUUAUCUCUGCCUCUAGUCCACAGUGCCUGCUGGGGUUGCCUCUUUUAUUAUGUUCAGAUUUCCUGUUCAUGCAAGUCCCUGAGAAGCAUCACCAGGUGACAAGCCUCCCACAAGGUGAUCUGUCACUUGGUAACUGUUCCUCUUUAAUUCAAACCUGAAGAACAUAUUUGUCCUAAUGGCUCACUGGUUUUCUUAUCCCAAGGUACUCCACUGUAGAAUCUUGUCAGCAUUAUGCCAUUCACCACUGAGCACUGUACUGCAAGAUGACAAAGACAGCAUGAGAAAAAGAAUCCAUUUCACAAGUUCCCUGAGUUGCCUGGAGUCAGAUUUUCCAAAUUUUCAAAAGACCUUUGAUCUUGUGGACAAAAGCACAGUAAGACCAAGGGAGAAAUUACAGUAGAAAGAACGAAUUUAAGCUCCUGAGGAAGAUUCUGAUUGAUAUAAGUACAAGAGAAAGUUACUUUUUUGAAGUCCUUUGAAAGAAUCAACAGGUGUGUGGAUAAGGGAGACCCUUCUAAUACAACCUAUUUUAAUUUCAAAAAGGCAUUCAGCAAGGUUUCUAAUCAAGUCUCGAAGGAAGCUAACAAGUUUUGAGACGUGAGGGGAGGUCCUUACAAGGAUACCACUUGGAUCAAAGGAUACAAAAUAGGAGGAAAAUUACUCAGCUUUCUCAGAGAGCGUGAAACUUAGUGCUGGAGCUCAUGCUGCUUAACAUGUUGUUAAACAACAUAGAGAAGGAUGGGCAAGUAAGUGACAGCUUGCUGGAGGUGCUGAGUUACACAGGGUAAUAAAGGUGGGAGCUGAUUGUGAAGAAUUGCAAAAGGCGUUAUGAAACACAGUGAUUGCUAAUUAAAAUAGUAGAUUAAAUUCAGCAUAAACUGAUGUGUAUAGGAGAAAAUAAUCCUAACCUUGCAUGAAGUGACAUGUUAUGAUUCAUCUACUACCUCUUAAAUUGAAAAUCCUGGGGUUAUAAAAAAUAGUUUCAUAAAAUGUCAGUACAAAGCUCAGUAGGACUAAAACCAACCAAACAAAACCAAAAGCAGGCCAUUCAAAGGUUAGUCAAGAACAGACUGUAACACUGAGCUUUACUCCAUUGUAGGAAAAUUACCCAUGGCUGCUUGAUGGUAGUAGUACUUCUCAAAUUCCAUGUGUUUUAAGAGAGUAGUGGAUAAAAAAAAGUCAGUUGGAAAAGAACCAGAGGCAGCUCGAUAGCCUUGUCUUUGCUGAGGUGUUAUAACAACCAUCUCAGUGACAGCACUUGUGUCUAAUCAAUUGACUUGGGAAGGAAUUAUUAUUUACAAUCAUACUAAAACCCACAAAGUCACUCCUCCUCUCAUGCUGGUUUACAGCACACAACAUAUUCAAUAACCAUAUGUGUUCUUGUCUUUUUGGGCAGCACUCCAUUGUAACAGGGAAGAAACUACUGAAACUCUUCUCAGGUCUUGCCUAAUCCAGUACGAGCUGUGAAAGACCGACCAGGAAUUAAUCAUGUACAUGCUUUCUUACAACAAAACAGCCAUGGGAAUAGUCUCCACAGCUAUAAGCAGAGCUGGAGCUGAAUUAGGCUCAGCAAACCCACCAAAAAUGCAUUUUUUCCUUUGGGGUCCAGGAUGGCAGUGGGACAGGGUAUUUCCAGUAGUGGGACUUGCCCAGCACACACCAGACCCAGCAUUGUAGUCUCUGUGUCUUUAUCUGGAGAACUUUGUCUUGCUACUCUGUGUGCCAGUGCAGCCUCUGUCUGAUGGGAUGACCUGUGAGCAACCCACUGGAACCUGGUCAGUCAAGAAGCACCUGCAGAAAACAAGCUGAAGUGCUUGAGUAUUCAGCAAUGUUUCACCAGUUACUGUAAAGGUUCUAAGAGUAUCUUUCCUUAUAGGGCUUUUACAAGGAAACCAGUUUUCAAGAGAACAAAUUCUUAUUGUUGCCAGAUUCUCACGUGUCUAUAACAUUUUCAUGGUCGCAACUCAGGGCACAAAUGGCAGCAAAGGAUUACUUUUCUCAUUUAGUUUUAGUGUAAAAAUAUAUUUGCUUUUGUCAGAAGGUGUAAGGAUUGCAAAACCUUGUACAGAGGUGAAAUCUUUCUUUUGAUCUUCUGGAGAUUUACAGUAGCAAUAAAAACAAAUAAUGGUCUUCAAGCAGCAGCGCUGGAGGUGAGACUGCAAAACCCACAGUGUGUGAGAAGAACAGGAGCUUUAAUGAAGUUUGUCACUGGCAUUUGGUUUAACAAGUUUUACAAGCUACAAGCCUGGAAAAAUGGAUUAAGGUUAGACUGGGGCACAGUAACAGACCACCGCUUUGUUAUCACAGGGACUCGGCAACACUGUUUUGGUUGUACAGAUUCUAUGUUUUCACAGCAGAUUAUAGACUUGAACCUGCUCAGCUGAGACAGAAAUGGCAGGGAGGCACCCCCACCAGAGGGAGAUUAGAAAGGUCAUGCUCUGACCUUUCUGUGACUUACAGACGUAUCUCUACCCAAAGCCAUUUCACCCAGAGAUUAUCCUAUUAAAUUGCUGGGGUAUGUCAUCCUUCUGACACAUCCAACCGUGAACCACAAUUCCUUAUGCUGAAAAUAGGGUAGCAUCUUUUGGAAUAGGGAAAAAUUCCUUGAAAGGGAAGAGUACACCAGCCUCGUUGUUUACAGCCAGAAAGCUGAGGAAGGCACAUCCCAAAUGUUCUGAGCAAACAGGCUUUUUCUUCUCCCAGUUGUAGGAAAGGGAAGGAAUUUUGAGACUGAAGUUCUUCCCUUUACCUUAGAAGACAUAAGGUUUAGAGUCCUUUUGUUUGUCUGACAUGUGCAUUACUUUUUUAAUAUUCUGGUGAUAUGAAUACUCAGUCAUUAUAAAAUAAGUUUCCUCAUCUCCUUUUGUAUAAAAGAGUUGAUGGGAAAGCUCUAAAUAGCUACACUAAUACCCUAAACUAAUGACAAAGAAGUAAAAAUGUCCAGCCCUCAGAUCCAUCCUUUAUCUAUCCACUUGAAUUUCUUAAGUACUGUAACAAUAAAAAAUUCUGAAGUAAUUUUCAACAAUUUAUAAUUACAUGGCUAUAUACAAUAUGCUUCCUCGCACAAGCAUUGGAAGAAUUACCAAGAAUCAAAUCCUCAGAUCUUAUAGAUCUCAAUAUUAACCAACAAAACACUAGAAAGUGUAAAUAGUUACAUAUAUUAAUAAAUUAGAGUAUGCUUGUGCAAAUUUAUCUAGUAAAUCUGUGAAAUAGCUUGAUUUGAUUUAUAUAGAAACUAAAUUGCUGGAGGGGAAAAAAGUUACAGAACCCAAAUUUACUGGUUUUUUGGCUCGAAGAUAAACAAACAAUAAACUUGCCCUUCUACUGAUAUUUAUAAGAGGGAAGUAAAAACCUUGCUGGAGGCAUGAUGGCUCCUUAAGAGCCAUCCUUAAGAGACUUCUCUACUCCAGCCAGGAGCAGGAGAGAGGACUGCCAUUCUGAUUCCAGGAAACCUCACCCUAAAUUGAAAGUUCUACAAAUUGUGUUCAAAAAGCAGUUAGGAGUCCUCAGACAAAGAUUAGUAACGAAAUUAUAUGGAGCAAAAUAUGUUACUUUAGAAGAAUCUUGCUGACUACCCUCCCAUAUCCUCUGAAUUUCUCUGGAUUAUGUUAUAGCAGGUAUCAGGGUACCUUUCAACAAAAUACUGUGCCACAGAAAAAUACUUUUUGGAAAUGCUCUAGCGCUAAGUGCUUUUCAUCCCUUACCAUGAAUUAAAAGCAAAUAUCUUUAAAUACCUGUGAAGGUGUCUUAAAAUAAUCAACGAAGUCAGUUAUGCUGCUAGUGAAACAGGAAAAAACCCCGAAAGAACAUAACAUCCAUGGUUAACAACUGUGAUUUCAGUAAGCCUGACUUCACAAAGCAUCUUUCAUCUCAGUAUUUCCUUAUUUCUGAUCAUCUGGUUAUUUAGAAGGCAUGCAGCUCUCCACAUAAGGCCUCUAUCCACCAGUUUUAAGACAAGAGGAUGAUCUUUCACUCAGGUGUUUACAAAUUUGACAGAGAAGAUGUGCAGGACCCUGAUAGGGCUCUCAUGGACAAAGAAACCCCAAUGUUACCAGGUAGAGAUGCAGUUACCAUUGUUCAAAUGCACCCUCACAGUCCCUGCCUUGAGCAACUCAGCACAGCCAUUAUUUUAGUUUUUAGAGUAGAAUUGGAGGACAUAAAUCUCUUCCUGUGAGUCCCUUGCCUUCUGCACAGUCUGAGGCCUGGAACUUCCCUGCUGACUCCUUGCAGUGACCUGGGAGCCACCACUGCACACUCACACCGGUAAUUACUUUUGCACAAAGGGUGACUAGAGUGAGAAAAUCUGGAGUGUUGUGGCUGGUGGGUUUUACCAGUACGGAAAGGAGGAGGAGCCUGCCUGACACUUGGGCAGAUUCUCUGUAGAUAAUAUAACACUUUAAAUUCAAGUGCUAAAAGGCUUCUACAGUACAGCAUGAGCUGAAGGGACCAGCAACAAAUGAUGAUCAAUGACAGAUGAUAAAUUACAGGAGGUGCCUUAUACACCCAUACUGAUGUGUCUGUAAGGUACCUGCUGCAAUUUGAAGUCAUGCAGGAGUUAAAAGUAUGACGACUUCUAAUUAUGAAAAUCCAGUCCAAAGGGACGAGAUGUUCUCUCUGCCAAAAAGCUGACGUUAUUUUUUUCACAGAUACUAAAAUGAACUGAAGGCUAAAACACUGAUGGUUAAAUUGCUUUUAAACAAGCAUUUUUAGUGACUUCAGAGGUAAAGUUUAAACAAUGAAUCUUCUUUAUUUGAGAAAGGAUUAUGUCAAAUAUAGAGGAUAAUUCCUUAUAUAUUCAAUUACAAGUGCUUCAGUUUUAAGCACAUACAGAAAAGAUGCUGAAGCACAGAUGCACUCACUCCAGAAAAAAAAAAAGCAGAAAAAACCCCCAGUGCCCAGUUUCCCUUCUCUUCUCUAGAACUGAGCUGACUGUAAAUUCAAUCACUUUGCCCCAGACUGCCUGCAAGCCAGCAGAACAGCUCUCCUCAGAGGGCUGCAGUGACAGCACAGCUCUGCUCUGGUCUGUGUUUGGCAACAAAGAGCACAGGAAUGACAUCUGAUGCCCAACAUCACAACUUUAAGACACAGUCAGAUGGCUAUUAUUUUCGCUGCCAGAACUAAACUUUAUUUCCAUGUGUGUUACAUACUGGUAUUUGAUGUCAAGUACAUUAAACUUACUUUAACAGAGGAUUUAAGUGAGGAAUAUUUAUUCUUCCCUAAACAAGAAGGAAUGUAAAAACCUAUAAGAAAAGAACUGUUUAAGCUUUGAUUUGAUUUUGGCAAACCAAACAGUAAAGUAUUCUUCUGUUCUCUCCUCAGAUCUUUCAAAGUACCAAAAAAGCAUCUUUUUAUAAUCAUGCAGCUGAAGAAAAAAAUAGUAUUACAAAAUUCAUUUCUUAUGCUAAAUAUGGUUACAAAUCAGAGUAUUAAACACAAAAUUUCCAAUUCCUAUUUUUAAAUACAAAUACUGUAUUAUAUUAUGAAAUGGGGAUAAUUAAAAUAUAUCAAUGACUACAAAUCUAGUAAUUUAAAGCAAACAAACAUGCUGUUUGCUUUCAUGUGGAAGAAUUAGGAUAUUGUAUGGUUCAAGCACUGCAGUAAUUUCUGUCAACUCCUUGCUGCCCAGAAUGUCAAACCGCCAAACACAGAGACAAGUAUUCAAGUCUGAAUAGCACCAGGUGUUUUUCUUUUUUUUUUCUUUUUUCCCUUUUAGAGAUAUUAACAUUUAAUAAAAUGAGUGACGUUACAACCUUCUGAAAGUGACAUGCACAAAUAGAGAAUUUGUUUUGAGUUUCCAACUAAUAAGCUGAAAGUUUUAGACAAUACUGAAUAAUUACUAACGUAUUUCAUGGUACACAAGAAAACAGUGCUUCCACAGUAUAUCCUCAGUUCUCAAGUACAAAAAUAUCAGUUAUGGGUAGUCAAUAGUUAUCAAAAUUUUUAUUGGUACAGAAUGAAAGCAGCAUUUACUUUAUUGUUUUUUAAACCAUACAUCAUAGAAUUCCCUAGUACACAUGUGGAGGAGUGAAAUAGGCUCUGUACUAUUUACCUGCUACUGAUCCUAGAGUGAAAUACCUGCUACUGAUCCUAGGUCCAGAUUCAAAACCUUUCCUGGCCAAAACCAAACUAUAUAAUUAAUAGCAAAGGGAAGGCAGUUCCUCAGUGUGAAAGGUCAGCAUUUAGAGUCUUACUAAAACACUAUUUUUGAAACAAUACAUCACUUAAAUGUAUAAUUACAUACACUACAAGUGAGAAACAGGUUUUUAUUAACAAGAACUAUUGAGACUGGGCAUAAACAUCUUAACCACAAACCCUAGAAAUAUUAUGGAUGCUUUGAUGUGGCCCUUUUUGGUGAGAGAAUAGGAAUAAUGAAGUAUGGCUUUUCAAGCUUCCUCUAAAAGCACAUUUUAUAAAAUUUUGUAGGUUUAAAUUAUUUUAGAGGCCCCCUAACAUUUUCCAGUAACAUUGUUUACUAAUUAGAAGCAUUAAUUAUAUCAGCAUAUUAAGCCAUUGGCUGAUAGCUGAUCACCAGCAUAACAGGAGCUGUUUGCUUUUGCUGUAGCUUUUUGUUUCUAAGGGAGGUACUUUUCUAGUGAGAGCCAUCCUACAGUACUAUCAAACAUUUCAGAGGUUGCUACAUAGCUUCUCAAAUAAAAUCCUCAACAGUUUUGUUUUCCAGCAGAUACUCAUAUCAAGCAUAUGCAGAGAGCAAAUACAAUCAAGUGCAGACAGUUCAAAGCUAUAUCUCAAACAUAUUGUUUUACAGCUACCCUCUGCAGAAUAAAAGCCCCUCCUCAUCCCAAAGAGAUGGGGCGAGAAGGGGAAACAGGUCUGCAUUCAUGUAGGAGUUUGGCUAGCAUAGACUUUUAUUAAAGUUGUUAACAAAAAUAGUUAAACAUUUUUACAAUUUAACAUCCAGUCUGACAAAAGGCAAAUCAAUGAAAAAAAUACAAAAAAGUAAAAAAGUGCACUACCCAGUCCAGUAUUUUGCUUUAAAGUCAUGUCACUUACAGCAUAUGAAAAAUAAACCCAGAAGUGUAAUUACUUUAAAAUACACCGCUUCCAUAUUUCAGUAUUUUACACAUAUAUUCUAUAGUGGAAGAGGAGAUCUCUUAAAAACUUUACUCUUAAAAUAUUGAGGUGCAUAUACCAAGUGGGAUAGACCUGGCAAGUUAAGUUGCAGUAGAGAAUCCUUUCAAAUUUGGCAUUUCACUUACAAACCUUACUGUGCUAGCAAGAUCUGUAGUACCUAAGCCUUCUAGUAAGAACAGUAAUUUUGCUUAAUGCAGAUUUACUAAUACAGACAACUACAAGAAAUGGUGUGGUCAGCAACUCUAUGGGAUCUUAAGGAGAUACGAGUCCUGAUUUAGUUGUCAAAUGGAACAAUGUCACAACAAACUUUAAGGCCAUGUUUUAUUUGCUGAUUAAUGGACAAAAGGCAAUGGAUUCCCCCCCCACUAAAUAUUUUCUUGAAAGUCUGUGCUCAUAAAAAUCAUGAAAAGUUGGAAAGACUUAAUUAUUGAAACUUUAAAUAUAUUUUACACAAUC